rnacentral:rRNA from 1 species
UACGGAGGGUGCAAGCGUUAAUCGGAAUUACUGGGCGUAAAGCGUGCGCAGGCGGUUUGUUAAGUCUGUUGUAAAAUCCCCGAGCUCAACUUGGGAAUUGCAAUGGAUACUGGCAGGCUGGAGUAUGGUAGAGGAUGGUGGAAUUCCCGGUGUAGCGGUGAAAUGCGUAGAGAUCGGGAGGAACAUCAGUGGCGAAGGCGGCCAUCUGGGACAACACUGACGCUGAAGCACGAAAGCGUGGGGAGCAAACAGG